rnacentral:lncRNA from 1 species
AAACACUGCCUUGCAUUUAUUUUGCUAUGCCUGUAACGCAACUGUAUUAAAAAGGGAGAGCAAUUUUUUUUGAGAAGAAGAAUGAAAGGAUUUCCUACUCAUAGUCCUUCACUGAAAGAAUUAAAAAGAACUUUCAAUCAAGAAGGAAAUUAAACCCAGAGUUGGACAUGAUAAAAAAGUAUGGAAAAAAAAAGAUAGUCUUGUUUAUAAAAACAGUUUCCAUUUCAGAGAGAAGAGCCCUGGGAGAAGACCAGCUUGGGAGGAGAAGAUUAUGAGUUUGGUUUUGGGCAAGUUGAAUUUAAAGUGCCUUUGAGACAUGAUCCCAUUCUGUAGUUCAAAUUCCGCACUGCACAUGGAGCUGGAACUUAUGAAAUGAUGGCCAAGUCCUGUAUGUAACCACUGGAACCAUCUAGAGCCAUUCUUGAGAACGUGCUGAGCGGUGUGGUCUAGUGGAGCAAAAAAAGCCCUGAGCGUGCAGAAGUGGAUGGGACAAUAUUGAGAAUGCAGCUGGGCCACUGCUGGUUGAAGUGGCCUUGGGGAAAGGGACAGGACGGCAUCAGAAAUUGAUGACUCUCCCCUCCUUUUCUAUCCCUCCCACCUAUACACACAUUCCAUCCAAAUGAUGACUCACUUGGUCCAACCCUAAGAAGCAAAGUACUCAGAGGAAAGGAGGAGCCU